CGAGCCGCAACCGCCACCUGCGUAGUCCGCCGCUUAGUCGAGACCACCCCGCGCUGCACCACUAGUGUCGCGGCUGUUGCCUUGCCCAGCCGGCUCCCCGCCCUCUCUUCCCUUUCUUCUUUGCGUGCUAUCACCACCAACGCACGCCGCCCACCAGUGCAACCACCACUCCGCAACCUCCAUGCUCGCUGCCGCGUGGUCUGCCGCCGGCCAACCUCCUCUUUCUCCCUCUUGAAUUGGCGGAGAACUCUCUUUAGGCGAUAUUUGAAAGUGUUAAAGUGGCCUAUUAAGUUGUUUACACAAGGUACGUACAUACCUGUGUGCUUGAAAUGUGUGCUAAUUGUUGAAACCAUGUUGAAUUCGUUGUUGAACUUGGCUAUGUUGAUAUUAUUGUUGAACUUGGUGAUGUUGAUAUUAUCGACGAACUUAGUCAGGUUGAAAUUGCAUGUUUAAUAUUGUUGGAUGGACGUAUUGAACCUAUAUUGCAUUAAGAGAAUUAUAACAUGUUAGUAUGGAUGAUUGAUGCAAACAUGUUUGAUUGGGAACACUAGAUUACUUUGUAUAUGUUGAUUCAGAUCAGUUGAUUGUUGUUCCCUUUUUAGCUUUUCACUACUUUAUGAGGGCCGAGGACCUUGUUUAGUAAGUUGAAACUUUAUACCCAUAUACAGGGUUGAUCAUGGUUAAAGGGAAUGUUGGGUAAAUUGGAAUGAGCCUUGAUUGAUGCUUUUAUGAUCACGUACUUAAUUCCAAGAUAAAAACAGUUGUGAACGAAUGUGGAUUAUAUGCCUUAUGUGAUUGUUGAGUCAUAACAGAGUCUCAAUUUGUAAAUCAUGUAAAGUGAAACUGAGUAGCAAUAGCUUUAGACUGUGCACGUCUAAAGUGACGGACAAACAGGAGUUGGGGUUCAUGGUGGUAGCCCAUGGCCUUUAUCUCGGACCGGAUUGAUCACUGUGUCCUAUUUUUAUUCAAAUGUUCCUCGAUAUCGCAGGUCUCUGAGGUUACGGAGUCGCGCCCGUACCUCGUCUUCCUUAGUGAAGGAUGUCGGACGGUCAACUCGGUCCAUUGUCUAUUUCAACUAAAAUAAUAUUAUUGUUAAAAGUCUAGCCUAGUCUAGUCUGGUCAAGUAUGGUCGUCAAACUAUCAUGUUUUGUCUGCCCUUGUUUGUGUUCAUUAGUAUCAUGUUAGGGUUGUUCGUUUAAUAGAAUCAUGUUAGGAUUAUUAUUGAUUUAGUAUGUAGUACUCAGCUUUGCUGAUUACGUGCUUUUGCUUGUGCAUGUUGAUCAUGGCUAUGCCUUAUUGAUCCUGUGAUGACCCAAUCUUUGGUGAGCAGUCUCUAAGGAUCAAUAAGCAUUGUCCAUCUGCAAGUUUGAAGAUGUUGCAUCAUUGGGAUCGGGAAUAGAGAGCUUGUAUUUAGUUUUGAUUUGCUAAGUUGACUUGGGUUUGUUUAAUUGGACUUUAAACUUGUCGUACUAUUUAUAUUUCCUUAUUUUCGUUGGUUGAUUUUUGGGACUAAACCUGUAAUCGAUUAUUUAUAAACCUAAAGUUAGUUUUAUGUUUUCCGCUGCAAAAUUCUGAAUAAGCCGUUACGUUUUCACACGGGCGAUAAUGCCUUGAUAAUUCUCUACGUUUUAUAUUAAAAGGUUAUUUUAGAAAAGAGAGAAUUGUCGGGAUGUUACAAACUGUGUAUCAAUGAUCUUAUUGUGAGCAGUAAGAGCAUCGAUCUUUGCAUCCUUUUCACUUAGAGAUUUUUGCAUUUGUAGCAUCAUGUUUCUCAUCUCUACUAGCAUAGGGUCAGGCUGUGUGGCUUGAGGUUGUGGUGGUGGAGGUGAUGUGUGUUGUCUAGGGAACCCAGGUGGUCCACUAGACUGUUGGUUGUAGUUGUUCCGUGGUUGGUAGGAUUGUUGAUGUGGGGGUUGGUAUGGUUGUUGUGGUGGAUGUUGGACUUGGUGAGGGUUCUGGAUAUUGUUGCUCCUGUAGGAUAGUAGAGGGUUGUUUUUGUAGCCCUCAUUGUAAGAGUUGGAGAAUGGGUUAUUUUGUUUGUAGGAUUGAAAUGUGUUACAUUGUUCAACAGAGCUCCUACAUUCCUGUGCAUAAUGACCAGACAUUCCACAACUUUCACAAACAGUAGCAGGUUGGGCACUCAUAGCAGCUACACUAACAGGUUGGGCAGAUUGAGCAUUGGCUGCUUGCAUAUUAUCAAACUUAUAGUGUAAAGCAGUCAAUUGGGCAGUUAAUUGUUCAAUAGAAUUUAAAUCAUGCUUACCACCCCUAUUAGAUAAACCUCUAGGAUUCCCAUACUGGGCAUUGUGAAUGGCUAUCUCCUCAAUCACCUCCAUAGCUCUAGGCACCUCAAGUUGCAUGAAUCUCCCACUGGCAGCUGAAUCCAACAAACAUCUAGACUCAUUGCCCAGACCAUUAUAAAACUGCUGAAUCAAGAACCAAUCUUCCAAACCAUGGUGCGGGCACUCUCUUUGCAAAUCCUUGAAUCUCUCCCAGACCUCGAACAAACUCUCAUCUGCUUGUUGUGAGAUACCCAAUAUCUGACCCCUUAGACGAGCUGUUUUCUCAGGUGGAAAAUAUUUAACAUAAAAAGCAAGAGCCAAGGACUCCCAAUUAGUGAUUUUCAAAGCCGCCCGAUUCAACCCAUUAAUCCACAAUUUAGCUUUCCCACUCAAAGAGAACGGGAAAAGUAUCUCCAUAGUCUGCUCCGGAGUCAAUCCAUUUUGCUUGAUGGUGGAACAAUAUUGGAUGAAGGACUGUAUGUGAAGAUUCGGAUCUUCACCUGGUUCCCCACCGUACUGGAGUCUCUCAAUCAUGUUAAUCAAUGCAGGCUCAAUCUUGAAGGUCUCAGCUGCAAUAGAAGGCAUGAUUGCCUUUGGUAGCACGGACAGACUUGGCUUAGAAUAGUCUGUAAGCCGUGGGGUAGGUGGCGGUAGUAGAGUUUCGUCACCCAUCUCUAUCUCUGAAACUGAAUCUGUAUCUGAAGGAAAAAGAUCGCCAAUAUUAUGAUCAGAAUCAGAGUAAUUCCCACACUGUGCAAUGAAAGUUCUUCGUCUACGAAAGGUUCUUUCUGGCUCAAGAUCGAAUGGAGUAAAAUUACUAGUACCUACGGUCCUGGGCAAAGACAAAGACUACAAAACAAUGUGAGAUCCGGUCUCAAGGAACGUGAGUUCCUUGAGUAGUAACAAACAAAAAUCUAGUAUAAGCAAUCAACAACAGAAAAUAAAACCGUUUCCCCAGCAACGGCGCCAAAGUUUGACAGGCUAAAUCGCACUCCUAUUAAAGAUAAACCUAAAAUCACUAGCUAGGUAGCAAGGGAAGUCAGGAUCGAAUCCACAGGGAAACAGGCGUUCUUUCUACUAUUAAUCAACUAAUCUAGACUAUUGGGAAACAAGAGUUGGUUGGUUUGUAUACUAAAACUACGACAAUAAUUAAACAAUUAAGAAAUCAGAUAUUAAAGAACCUAGGGCAUAGGUUCACCAACAAAUAACAAUCCAGGAUGAUAAACGAUUAGCAAUAAUCAAUAACGCAAUUAAUUAGACUAGCAUACUCUCUCGAAUCGAUAAUAAUCAUAGACUUAGAAUUAACGGGCUCUCGCUACGUAUUAAUCCUAAUUCCACCUAUUGACACAAGCCUAAAUAUCAAAUUACAUCUCUCGAAUCUUAACUUGAUAUUGCAUGACUAUCACAAUUAAACCUGCGCAAAUCUAAUUGCAUAGUGAAAUAAACCAAUCAAUAGGAAUCAAUCGCAAUACCAACAAUCACAAUUAUUCAAUCAUCCCUUCAUAAUUAUUCAUGGAUCCCUAAAACCCUAGAAAAGUAACUACUCACACAUAAUACCAAUAAACAAAGCAAACAUAUUAAUUGAAAGCAUAAUUGAAAUUGAAUAAAAGAAUAAGAACACAAAGUAAUACAUAAAACGAAGAACGAAACGAUUAGCUGAAAGUUUGAAUCUUUAAUUAAAUCAAAGUUGAGUGUUUGGAGAAUAAAAAUUGAAGUUUUAAGCUAAGCAAUCAUAAUAAUACGAAGUUCGGAGAGGAGAGAGAACGUACUAAAAACACUAAAUAUAUAUAUAAGCCUCCCCUUAAUCCUACGGAGUAACUAAGCAAAAGAAAACGUAAUGGGACCGAAAACCGGGCACCCCGGGUUCCAAAAUCCGGCCGGUUUUCGGCCCAGUUAGGUAUACUUAAGUCAUCAGGUAGCAAAAACCGGGGCCACAAGUUUCCCAAAACCUGCCGGUUUCGCACCUAAGAGAAGUUUUCUUCGUUCCUCAAAACCUGCUGGUUUGCGAAAACCGGGGCCACAGGUUUUGAGCUCAAUUUGACGUAUUUGCCUUGAGUUAGAACUUGAGGCCUAGGCCCAACUCCUGGGCCAAGUUUGACGCUCGUGGCCCCUUUGAAGCUAGCUAGAUCAUCCCGCAAUGCCUCGGGAUCCGUGUAGUCAUCCAAGAGUGAUAAGAAAUGGGCCCCCCAAAGAUCAAUUAUCAUCAAAAACAGCCCUGCAGCUAACAGACACUACACAACACACAUUAGCACUAAAAUAGGCCCCGAAGAGCUCAAAUGAGAUGAAAAGUGCAUACAGGACGGGAGUAAAAACUAUAUAAAAUAUGAGUGUAUCAGGUCCCUCCCUCUGCUUUUUCCGCUUCUUAUAGAGGAAGACUGUUCAAUUUUAUACCCCCACGACCAUCUCUCUGUUUCUUUUUCUCACUCACACUUUCGUGUUUUCAAUCUUCUUCGCCAUUGCAUGAUGAAGUCGUGUUUGUGUUCAAAAAAAACUGAAGAGACAGCAGUAGAUGAGGCCGAUGGUAGUUUGAGGGUUUUCAAUUAUAAGACUUUGGAGAAGGCCACCAAUAACUUCAGCUCGAUAGUCGAUACAGCUUCUCGGUCAUGGGGGGAAAGUGUACAAGGGUUUUGUGAAAGAGAAGCUUCUUGUUCCGUCUUCAUCUUCAUCCAGUUCCAAAAUCAUGGUGGUAAAUCAGGGUAUAUCAUUUUAUAGAGACUGAUGAUCAGCAAAGUUUAAGGAUGAGCUGAACUUGUUGGGAAGAUUGUCACAUCCGAACUUGGCUCGUCUAUUAGGAUAUUGCUGGACUGAGAAGAAGCUUUUUUUAGUGUCUGAAUAUAUGCCUAAAGGAAGUUUGGAUUAUCAUAUGCUCAAUGGUGGAGUUAGUUAGGACAUUCGUAUGAAGACAGCUUUAGGAGUAGCUCAAGGCCUUGCUGUUAUGAAUGCUAGUUGUUUAGACAAACCAUUCAUGUACUACUUCUUUAAGCCCUCAAGAAUACUUGUUGAUCAGAAUUACAAUGCAAAGAUAUCAGUUUUUGGUUAUUACUGUCAAGGAGACAAAAGUUAGAACUCGGGAACCAUGCCAUUGCCAUUGCCAAUGCAAGAUUUUAUCUUUCGCCAGAGAUGAUACGUGGCUGUAGCACGAAUAACAGCAUUGUGUAUAGUUUUGGACUGAUAUUACUUGAGAUGAUAACUGGUUUUCAAGUCGAUAGUGUAAAAUGGGCAGAUAUAUGGACACAGUGGCUCUUAGUCUCCAACAAGGCGCAACUUGUAAAAAUUAUGGACCCGGGUCUGGAGGGUCAAUACUCAAUACUCACUCGAUGUAGCGUUCGAGAUAGCUCAGAUCAGUGUUACCUAAUCCUCCAAUCAGCCCACGAACCGCGAACCGAAAAAGCGAAUUACAACAUCAAAAUGGUAUAAUUUUGGUCUAAUUUAACAAAUUAGGUAGCGAAUUACGAACCCGUACCCAAUCUCAUACUAGCGAACCAGGUAACACUGACUCAGAUUAUAACCAAGUGCCUCUGCGAGUGUAGUAGAAAUCGCCCGUCCAUGCAAGAAGUAGCAUCCGACUUUGCUCAACUCAGAGCCUAAUGCAGUUGCAGGGAUUGCUAGAGAUGCUUUGGGGGAGUGAGUUCUGGGUUUUCAGCAGAAAUGCUGCACUCAAACAGCAUUCGUGGGGGAACUGCGAGACAUUCUGGUUACUUUGCAAGUUAUCAAGGAGCAAGGAUGGUCUAGGGUCACUGUGAACUCGGAUGCACAGAAGGAAGUCCACAGAAUUGUGCUAGGGGAUACCAUAAAAGAUGUUAACUUCAUGAUUGUUAAACAAUGCAGAGAUCUCCUUACAUAGAUGCAUGAAAUCAAGCUGGAAUUUGAAGCCAGGGGAACUAACAAAAAGCUGCUGACAGAAUCGCAAGAAUGUGUAGAACUGCUGUAUUAGCUAAUUAUAAUAUUUGUAUUGUGGAACAAGAACCAGAGUUUGUUCUGGAUCUUUUGAGGGAGGAUAUGCCUCCAUGAACUCUCUUGUCUGUUUUUGUUCUGAACUUUUAAUCUAAUGAUCCAAGCUUGCAUAAAAAAUAAA